ACCAGCCCAGCCCUGACCCUGCAGCUGUGGCAGAAGAGCCCAGCUCCGGGAUUCCCAGGUGUUUCCAUUCGUUGAUCAGCACUGAACACAGAGGACUCACCAUGGAGUCUGGGCUGAGCUGGGUCUUCCUUGUUGCUAUUUUUAAAGGUGUCCAGUGUGAGGUGCAGCUGGUGGAGUCUGGGGGAGGCUUGGUCCAGCCUGGGGGGUCCCUGAGACUCUCCUGUGCGGCCUCUGGAUUCACCUUCAGCAGCUAUGAGAUGAGCUGGGUCCGCCAGGCUCCAGGGAAGGGGCUGGAGUGGGUAGGUUUUAUUAAAAACAAAACCUGUGGUGGGACAGCAGAAUACGCCGCGUCUGUGAAGGGCCGAUUCACCAACUCAAGAGAUGAUUCAAAGAACUCGCUGUAUCUGCAGACGAGCAGCCUGAGAGCCGAGGACACGGCCGUGUAUUACUGUGCGAGACACAGUGAGGGGAGGCCCGUGUGAGCCCGGACACAAACC